rnacentral:rRNA from 1 species
UACAGAGGGUGCAAGCGUUGCUCGGAAUUAUUGGGCGUAAAGCGCGCGUAGGCGGCUACUUAAGUCGGAUGUGAAAGCCCUUGGCUCAACUGAGGAAGUGCACCCGAAACUGAGUGGCUAGAGUACGAAAGAGGGUCGCGGAAUUCCCGGUGUAGAGGUGAAAUUCGUAGAUAUCGGGAGGAACACCGGUGGCGAAGGCGGCGACCUGGGUCGAUACUGACGCUGAUGCGCGAAAGCGUGGGGAGCAAACAGG